rnacentral:rRNA from 1 species
UACAGAGGUCUCAAGCGUUGUUCGGAUUCAUUGGGCGUAAAGGGUGCGUAGGCGGCGCGGUAAGUCGGGUGUGAAAUCUCGGAGCUUAACUCCGAAACUGCAUUCGAUACUGCCAUGCUUGAGGACUGGAGAGGAGACUGGAAUUUACGGUGUAGCGGUGAAAUGCGUAGAGAUCAUGAGGAAGACCAGUGGCGAAGGCGGGUCUCUGGACAGUUCCUGACACUGAGACACGAAGGCCAGGGGAGCAAACGGG